GUUUGGGGGAAUCCCUGCUUCAGCUGUGGCGCCACAGAAGGCAGGACUCAGGGAUGGACUCCACCAUGGCCUGGUCCCCUCUUCUGCUCACCCUCCUGGCUCACUGCACAGGAUCCUGGGCCCAGUCUGUGCUGACUCAGCCGCCCUCAGUGUCAGGGAACCCAGGACAGAUGGUCACCAUCUCCUGCACUGGAAGCAGCUCCAACAUCGGGGGUAAUUAUGUGUCCUGGUACCAACAGCUCCCAGGAAUGGCCCCCAAAACCCUCAUCAAUUAUGAUGAAGAUCGCUCCCCUGGGGUCCCUGAUCGAUUCUCUGGCUCCAAGUCUGGCAGCUGAGCCACCCUGACCAUCACUGGGCUGCAGGCUGAGGACGAGGCCGACUAUUAUUGCUCAGCAUGGGACGAUAGUCUCAGUGGUCCCACAGUGCUGCAGGCCUGUGGGGAAGUGAGACAAGAACCCCUGUGUCAUCUGGGAACUGGGUGAACACUUCAGCCAAUGCUGCUCAGGCUCCACCUGUGCCCUGUGCCUUCUGCU